rnacentral:lncRNA from 1 species
GAUGAGAAGAAGCGGACGUCGGCGCCUAGCAACGAUCUUGGAGAGCCGGAUCGCGCAGAGGGACAAAUUUCCUCAUGAGGUGGGGGCGGGGCUGUGAGCGGCUACGCCACUGUUGCCAGGGCCUAAGACAUCAGGUACGACGUGUAGGACACUGGAGAAUUUGGAGCAUGCGCAAAGGUUCAAACCCAUCCAGAAGAAGACCCCCAGUGGAGACUGAUCCGGAAGGGAGAAGGGCAGCCUGCCAGGUACCUAGCCAGACCUAAAGCAUGACGCCAUUAGUACGCCGCGGCCAGCGAACAUUAAGCCCUCUAGUGACCCGGGGCUCCCGGAUCUGGCAAGCUGGGAUCCUGCCACUGUCUCCGCAGGAGCAGAGUGGGGCUUGAUGAAUAAAUGACCCCGAACACCCACAACCGCUCUGACUGGUUUCAUCUGAGACCACGCAGUGAGUGGUGAGGGAUAAAUAAAAUCCUGAUGACAGUGGUUUUUAAUUGAGGCCCUGUACAUAUGUAAAUGAUGAUUGUUGUAAAUCCUAUAAUAGAGAUCAGAGUGACCAACUAGAAGACUUAGAGCAAAC